rnacentral:misc_RNA from 1 species
CUGACACCAAAAUAUUUCAUGAGGACAGGAAUAUCUUGUUGAUAUCCACAGGAGAAUUACUUGUGUAAUACUUGAGCAAUUCUCAUCAAUGGAGCAUUAUAUUUUGGUUGACUAGCCACUUUAAUCCGUCUCUGGGUUCUUCAAGAUCCAAAUAGGGAAAAUCGAAAGGAAGUACAUUGAUGCAGAAGGAAGAGAAAAUGCAGCAGAAAGUGUACUCCUCAUGGUCAGGAACACCAUUUCUCAGGCAAUAUAGUUCGCAUUGCAUAGAUUAUGCGUCUUUAAGCAUUUUUCAGUUAAAAUAUACAUCAACUUUUUAUGAGCGAAAGCAGUUUUAAGUUGAUUGUCUCACAACAACUGUUCUUCAAGAUAACUUUUGAGACUCCUCUCUGCUUUAGUGGAGUGAGG